rnacentral:rRNA from 1 species
AUACAUGCAAGUCGAGCGGACCGACGGGAGCUUGCUCCCUUAGGUCAGCGGCGGACGGGUGAGUAACACGUGGGUAACCUGCCUGUAAGACUGGGAUAACUCCGGGAAACCGGGGCUAAUACCGGAUGCUUGAUUGAACCGCAUGGUUCAAUCAUGAAAGGCGGCUUCGGCUGCCGUUUACAGAUGGACCCGCGGCGCAUUAGCUAGUUGGUGAGGUAACGGCUCACCAAGGCGACGAUGCGUAGCCGACCUGAGAGGGUGAUCGGCCACACUGGGACUGAGACACGGCCCAGACUCCUACGGGAGGCAGCAGUAGGGAAUCUUCCGCAAUGGACGAAAGUCUGACGGAGCAACGCCGCGUGAGUGAUGAAGGUUUUCGGAUCGUAAAGCUCUGUUGUUAGGGAAGAACAAGUACCGUUCGAAUAGGGCGGUACCUUGACGGUACCUAACCAGAAAGCCACGGCUAACUACGUGCCAGCAGCCGCGGUAAUACGUAGGUGGCAAGCGUUGUCCGGAAUUAUUGGGCGUAAAGCGCGCGCAGGCGGUUUCUUAAGUCUGAUGUGAAAGCCCCCGGCUCAACCGGGGAGGGUCAUUGGAAACUGGGGAACUUGAGUGCAGAAGAGGAGAGU